rnacentral:lncRNA from 1 species
AACCAUACUCCCAUCUGUCAUGGCAGCUGCAGCAAGCCUCACCCAAGGAGAGUCUGGCUGGAGGCCAAACAACACAAAACCAGCACACUUAACAAAAAUAUAACCAAUGACCCUUGCAGAGUCCACUUAACUCCCCUCCACCAGAGCAGGUGCUGGUAUCCACAGCUGAGAGACCUGAAGAUGGAUCACAUCACAGGACUCCUUGCAGACAUUCUCCAGUACCAGCCCAGAGCCUGGUAGGUCUGUUGGGUGGCUAGACCAGUAUUCUAAGUGAAGUAACUCGGAAAUGGAAAACCAAACAUCAUCUGUUCUCACUCAUCAGUAGGAGCUAAGCUAUGAGAACACAAAGACCUGUCCACGCUGAGUUUAUAGCAACUGUCAAUUACGGUUCAGAUUUUCCUACCCCAGCGUGACUUUCCAAAGAGGCUUCUGCUCAUGGAUUUCUGCUCCAGGAAGAUGCAACAGGAAGGUCCUCACAAGAUGGCUGAACAGAUGCAGGUGCUGUGCCUCUGGACUGCCUAGCCUCCAGAACUGUGAGCCAAACAAAGUUCUAUUCAUUAUAAAUUACCCACUUUGCGGUAUUCUGUUUUGCAGCCGAAAAUGGACUAGGAUAGUAUUGUAAAUUUGUAUUCUGUGAUAUUUACCCAAAGUACUUGAGAAAGCCUGGCUCAGAGCCUCAGAGCUGGCCACUGGACCCACAGCUGAUCGUAGAUGCAUGUGUGAGCCCAACCAGAACCAGAAGAUCUCCCAGCAGACCCAUAGACUCAGGAAAAAUAAAAAAGCUCACUGCUUAAGCCACUGAAUUCUCGGUGAAGCUUGUUACAUAUCAAUAGCUAACUGAUAAAAUCAAUUUUAUCUGGAAAGACUGAGAAUCUUUGUCUUACCUUUAAAUAUUAGUGAUAUAUUCCUCAGGUGCUCAAACUCUCCAAUAACUGUUACCAAAUUCUUGAUGUGUACGAAAUCCAUGUAUGCUUCCAGGUUCUCCAGGUUGGUCAUCUUGUUUUCCCCUCAUUUGAGCCUGACUUCCCUUCGACUUCUAACCUGACUUUUAUUUUUAUUUAUUUAUUUUUUUAAAUUUUAUGUUCCAGGAUACAUAUGCAGGAUGUGCAGCUUUGUUACACAGGUAAAUGUGUGCCAUGGUGUUUUGCCACACUUAUCAACCCAUCACCUAGGUAUUAAGCCCAGGAUGCAUUAGCUAUUCUUCCUGAUGCUCUCCCUCCCCCUGUACCCCGGACAGGCCCCAGUGUGUGUCAUUCCCCUCCUUGUGCCCACACGUUCUCAUUGUUCAGCUCCCACUUAUAAGUGAGAACAUGUGGUGUUUGGUUUUCUGUUCCUGCAUUACUUUGCUGAGGAUAAUGGCUUCCAGCUCCAUCCAUGUCCCUGCAAAGCACAUGAUCUUGUUCCUUUUUAUGGCUACCUAGUAUUUCGUGGUAUAUAUGUACCAUACUUUCUUUAUCUAGUCUAUCAUUGAUGGGUGUUUGGGAUGAUCCAAUGUCUUCACUAUUGUGAAUAGUGCUGCAAUGAACAUAUGCAUGCAUGUGUCUUUUUAAUAGAAUGAUUUAUAUUCCUUUAUUCCUUUGAGAAUAAUAAUUAAAUAGAAUGGUUUAUAUUCCUAUAUUCCUUUGGGUAUAUACCUAGUAAUGGGAUUCCUGAGUCAAGUGAUAUUUCUGGUUCCAGGUCUUUGAGGAAUAACAACACCAUCUUCCACAAUGGUUAAACUAAUUUACAAUCUCACCAACAGUGUAAAAGCGUUCCUAUUUCUCCACAGCCUCACUAGCAUCUGUUGUUUCUUGACUAUUUAUUUAUUAAUUAAUUUAUUUAUAUUUUUUGAGACAAGAGUUUUGCUCUGUCACCUAGGCUGGAGUGCAGUGGCAUGAUCUCGGCUCACUGCAACCUCCACCUCUGGAGUUCAAGCAAUUCUCGUGCCUCAGGUUUCCAAGUAGCUGGGAUUACAGGCACCUGCCACCAUGUCCAGCUAAUUUUUGUAUUUUUAUUAGAGAUGGGGUUUCACCAUGUUGGCCUAGCUGGUCUUGAAUUACUGGCCUCAAGUGAUCCCCGCCUUGGCCUCCCAAAAUGCUGGGAUUACAGCCAUGAGCCACUGCGCCCAGCCAUUUCUUGACUUUUUAAUAAUCAUCUGACUGGCACGAGAUACUAUCUCAUUGUGGUUUUGAUUUGCAUUUCUCUAAUGAUCACUGAUGUUGAGCUUUUUUUCAUAUGUUUGAUGGCCACAUAAAUGUCUUCUUUUGAGAAGUGUCUGUUCAUGUCCUUUGGCCACUUUUUAAUGGGGUUGUCUUUUUCUUGUAAAUUUAAGCAUCUUGUACAUUCUGGACAUUAGACCUUUAUCAGAUGGAUAGAUUGCAAAAAUUUUCUCCCAUUCUGUAGGUUGUCUGUUCACUCUGAUAAUAGUUUCUUUUGCUGUGCAGAAGCUCUUUAGUUUAAUUAGAUUCUGUUUGUCAAUUUUCACUUUUGUUGCAAUUGCUUUUGAUGUUUUUGUCACAAAAUCUUUGCCUAUGCCUAUGUCCUGAAUGGUAUUGCCCAGAUUUUCUUCUAAGGUUUUUAUAGUUUUGGGUUUUACAUUUAAGUCUUUAAUCCAUCUUGAGUUAAUUUUUGUGUAAGUUAUAAGGAAGGGGCCCAGUUUCAAUUUUCUGCAUAUGGCUAGCCAGUUCUCCCAGCAUCAUUUAUUAAAUAGGAAAUCCUUUCUUCAUUGCUUGUUUUUGUCAGGUUUGUUGAAGAUAAGGUGAUUGUAGAUGUGUGGUCUUAUUUAUGAGAUCUCUAUUCUGUUCCAUUGGUCUAUGUGUCUAUUUUUGUACCAGUACCAUACUGUUUUGGUUACUGUAGCCUUGUAAUAUAGUUUGAAGUUGGGUCACAUGAUACUUCCAGCUUUGUUCUCUUUGCUUAGGAUUGUCUUGGCUAUAUGGGCCUUUUUUCAUUCCUUAUUAACUUUUAAGUAGUUUUUUUCUAAUUCUGUGAGGAAUGUCAAUGGUUGUUUAAUGGGAAUAGCAUUGAAUCUAUAAAUUACUUGGGCACUAUGGCCAUUUUCAUGAUAUUGAUUCUUUCUGUUCAUGAGCAUGGAAUGUUUUUCCAUUUGUUUGUGUUCUCUCUGACUUUCUUGAGUGGUGGUUUGUAGUUCUUGAAGAGGUCCUUCGCUUCCCUUGUUAGCUGUAUUCCCUGUGUUCCUAGGUAUUUUAUUCUCUUUGUAUUAAUUGUGAAUGGGAGUUCAUUCAUGAUUUGGCUCUCUGUUUGUCUACUGCUUGUAUAUAGGAAUGCUUGUGACUUUUGCACAUUGAUUUUGUAUCCUGAGACUGCUGAAGUUGCCCCACUUUGGGGCACUCUGGCUGCCCCUUGGUGGAAGGAUUAUGCUGCACUGGGGGAAUCCUAUUUGUCCAGACUGCCUGGAUCCCUCAGAGCCAGCAGUGGGAAAGACUAAGUCUGCUGAUCCACGGAGACUGUGGCUCCUCCUCCUCCCCAGGGGCUCAGUCCCAGGGACAUCAGAGUUCUGUCCCUAAACCCCUGGCUGGAGUUGCUGAAAUUCCUGCAGCGAGGCCCCACCCAGUGAGGAGGGAUGGCUGACAUGACUUUUAUCUGGUAUAUGGCAUCUCUGGUUAUUGACUUGGUUUUGGGCUUCUUCUUGUCUACAAUUCUGCCUUACUUUGUCUACCAAGAUUCAUUCUUAUCUAACUCUGAUCUCCCAAUAUCUGACAUUGAUUUGUCCCUGCUUUUGCCUUUAGUAAUUAGUAUCCCAGCGUCUGUUGUUGUCUACAUGGCUAUUCUCACUGGGGACACUUUUGCUGUCCAGGAGUCAUUUGGAAAUGCCUGGAGACAUUUUUGGUUGUCACAACUGGUGGUGCUCUUGUCAUCUACAUGAUAGAGGAUAGGGAUGCUGCUGAGCAUUCAGAAAUGUGAAGGACAGCCCCUCUAUAACUAAGAAUUAUUUCACAACAGUGUCAAUAGUGUUGAUAUUGAGAAACCAUGGUCUAGAUCUACGACAGAGAAUGGUUCCUUGAACAGUGCAGUUGUUAAUCUUAGGUUUAACUGUACUUAGGUUUUCAUCUCUAUGGCCCAGCUAUUCUCCUAGGAAGCCUCAGGAACAAAUUCUUUCUCCUUCUGAUGUACCAUAGUUCAUCCAAACUGAGCCAAAAUUCCUUAGGAAGCAGGUGUCUUCCCCAGAGACUGUGUGAGAGCCUCACUCUCCAGUUUAGCCAGCUCCAGAGCUCAGCAUAACAAUAGAAGAUUACUCAGAGACUAAUCUAUAACCUAGGACUUUUACCAGGGUCCUUAAAGAGGUAAAUAUUUUUCCUCUUUACGUAUAGUUUAUGUAUGACUGAACUUAGCAACUGGUGCUUUUAAACACAAUAGUGUUUAAAAUUCCUUCAAUGGGGUUUGGGUUUGUAGAACUCGAGUAUGUUAAGCAUACUCUAUGGCUUCUUCAGGGGCUUGUAACCUUGUCUUUAUUGCUGAUAAAGGAAAAUCAAGCAAACCCUGCAGGGGAACAUCUCUGUCCUCACAGAAACAUAAGGAUAGCCUGGUUAUCUGUUCUCUUAUCAAUUAUAAACAAUUGACCCCACUGCCAACCCAGCCUCUAGUCAUUUAGCAAAGGAACACAAGGCAACAUCUUGACAAUGGUAAAAUGAUGGUUCAAACAGGCUGGGGGAAAGCUGUAGACAUUUCACCAUACAAUUUGAUCGUACCUCUCACAAAAUUUGUGUUUGAUGCCUCAUUGGUAUAUUCUAGUUUGCAUAUAAUCAUCACAUCUCUAUGGGUCAGGCAUCUUUAUGGGUCAGAGAAGUAGAACCACAACAAGUGUAUAAAGUAUGGGGGUUAUUAUAAAAAUUAAAAUUAGGCCUUGCAAAUGUGGGUGCUGCUGGAGCUGCCUAUGCUGAUUGUUGUCUUGCGUCGAGGGCUGAGCAUGAGGUUGCUAUAGGUCUACCAGAAUGAUAGUUGGAAAGGACAGCUAGAUGUCCGGAGAAGUAUGGACAAACUGGGAUCCACGAGAAGAACUGGAUCCCAAGAGGGCAAACUGGAGCUUGCAGAUGUCCCUCACCACCUCCAUGUGGGCAACCUGCAGGAGAGGCAGGUGCCCUUGAUCAUGGAAAUGCAUGUGUUCCUGACACCCAGGGAUCAGAGAAACUGAAGAAGGAGAUCACAGACCUGUGAGAUUAGUGUUAUUAAUUUUUCCUCUUGCUUCUAGCUCCAAUAUGGUUCAUCCCAGAACUGUAACUGUUCCUGUGUAUUAAAUAUGUUGACAGUUUGUUCACCAUGUGUAUUUCUGCAUUAACUUUGAUUUUUAAAGAACAUUGCAUUAAAAUAUUUGCCUUGACUACUAAGUGCCUCUUUAAUUGUCAUGCCCCAAGGCAAGUUCCUCACCUGCCUCACCAUAGUCCCAGCCCUGCUGUGGAAACUGAAGGAGCUGCAGGUUUGAGCACUCCAUUACACCUUCUGGGAGGCUGGAAGUUAGUGAUGGUAGGCGUGAACUCUGUAGUGCCUGGCACCCUGCACUCACUGGCCUUCAGGGUGGAAGGAGAUAGAGUUGCUUCUUUAUGUCUGCACUCCAAACCUCAUACAAAACAUCCCUUGUGGCCAGCACUCACUCAGGACCACACAGGGAAGGGAAUUCUGGGAAAUGUGCUUUUAGCUCAGCUUAGUUGACACAGUUCCUACAACAUCCACACAGUUUUGUACAAUUUUAUUCUUGUGUAUGAAAGAUGUUGAUGGAUGCCUCUAGAUUCUGAAAGCUUCUCUCAAACUGCAUUUGGAGGAAGCCCAGCUGACCUCCUUGUCUCUCCCCAUACAUGAUUACUACGUUUGGAGCUCACUGUAAUUGUUAUAGCUGCAAACCAAGAAAAAUGAAGUGACCAUAUGACCUAAGUAAAAACAACCCCAAACUAAAGACAGAGAACUUUUAGAAGAAUCAUAUCAUCUAAGUAAUCAGACAGCUGCUGCUUAGAUACAAGCGUUCGUGGUUCACUUCCAAAUGCUGUCAGAUUCUAUUUGCUGGAUGUCCAAUUCUGUUUGAAUGCUCGUGAAUGCUGAAUCUGGUAACUAGCCCAAGGCUCUAGUGAGGGAAAGCAAUCAGAUGAUCAGGAUGAAUCCUCCUGGAACUAUACUCUAUGACACAGUCCUGGGCGGGGGUGCUAAGUGUGGGGAGGAGAAUCUAAAAGGAAAUACGGUACUCCACUAAGGCAGAGAAAUAUUGAGGGACUUCUUGGUACUUCAACAACAAAACACCCUGGAUGGUGUUCAAGAUGAACCAUUUUAUAUUGCAUUUUAUUCUCUGCUGAAUAGUAUUAUAUUAUGUUGAGGUGACUGUGUUUGUUUUCUGAACCCAUGAAUUCAUUGAGAGCCCCCAAAUGACUCAUGGUCUCCACACAUAGCAGUCAAAAUGCUUUCAGUGGAGCCAGUCCUAGUGGAUUAUGUUUAAUUCUAGGAGAGAGAAAUAGUAGCUACAACCCCAUUUCUGUCUUCCUCCACUACUUUCUUCCCCAGUGAGAUUUUGAUCAAUUUCUCCAGUAGGAGGUGAUCACUGAUUUUAAGACUCCUUUUCUUUUCUCUAACCUAUGGUGAGAACUUGAAAAGCUUGAUAUUCUGUUUGUGAAAGGAAAGGAGAUGCCUUCAAAAAAAAGAAGAGGAAGAAGAAAGAACAACUUUUACACUUCUGUCUCAGUGGGAAAUCCAUGUUGAGUUCUGAUACAUUAAGCAGUUCGCAGACAGAAAUUUGAAAAUGCUUCCAGCUGUUUAAUUUCUCUCGGCUCUGUUGAGAUGAGAGCCGCUCAGAACACGUGUGAGUCAACCAUUUACCCAGAGACAGCACUUAAUACUCUGAUAUGGCAUGGGCCAGGAAGCCCAGAGCAGCAUAUUGGAGACAGUAUGUUACUACAAUUGAUGACAGAUUGCUUCUUGGAUUUACUUCUAAAUGUAUUAAUUGGGAGACUGCAUGUGUGUAUUUGAGUACCUUUGGUGACUUGCUAUUCAAAAAGUAUAAAGAAUUGAAGGGGAGAAAGAGGCAUAAUUUGUAUGUGUAUUGAAUUUCAUUCACAGGGGCAAUAUUAAAAUUUGCUGCUAGAAAAUCUUGAAAAUAUUUCUCCUUCCUUUCCAUAUAGAAAGAGUUUUCUAAAAUCUCUUCUUUUUCUGGAAAGGAAGAAGGAGAAAGAUGGAAGGAAGAAGACGGUGGGUUAUUCAAGAGUGGAAAACAUGGUUUGGGGAGAAAACCCAUCCACUUUCUAAAAAAUAAGAAAAUGCAUAAACAUUCAAUCUUCUUGAAGAGUGGGUUUCAAGAGAGGCCAGUUGUGAAAAUAUAAGGAACCUCUGUGUUAAAUGCCCAUUUCAGGAGGAGUUUAACACCUGAGUAAUCAUACACGAAUCAGAAGCAUUUGCAAACUGUGGUUUCAUAUUCCUGUCUGAUGAUCCAUGAAGAAAGUGGGGAGGAAACACAUUAAGUGUGUUUUUCUAGAACUUUAUAUUCCUUGUGGCAUGUGUAGACACUUUGGGGAGCAACCUGCAUCUUGAGUAUUGGUGGUUUCUUCAUUCCUUUCGUUUACCUGAAUAAACACUUUGGAAUCGAACACGUGAGUGCUCAGCACACUGCAUUUAAAGACAAGGAAUGUUCUUUGUAAUCUCUGCAACUAGACAACCUUUUUGGCCUUGCAGUCCCCUCCCACUCCUGAUGUUUCUUCUGCAGCUGUUGUCACUGUCUCUUUUAGUCCCUCCUGGGAAGUCGUAUUCAUAAUUUUUAAAAUUAAGAAGUCAUUAUAAUGUUACGAUUUGCAUUUUUAGGUUAGCUCUUUCCAUCUGUUUUCCAUAAAAGAUACUUCUGCAAAAUACAUUUGGCAAGGUUUUAUUUAAUAAUAAUAUUUUUUAAAAACCCCACCAGCAAAGGCAAUGUUCAUUACAAACAGAAUGGGAGAAAGACUGUGCUUCUCGGGUAUGACAGAUUUUGCUUUAGGAUUAGACAAAAUGUUUCAUGUGGCUUCUGUGAAGGAUGAGUUUUCUAGCCAAAUUCGCAAGAGAACAAUUGUGGCCUUCAACAGUCAUAACUAGGGGGAAAGGAGGCAGAAAGACCUGGAAUUCCUAUUUUAAUGACACUAUAAAGAAGCAAGCUCAGGAAUCGUCUUUGGGUUCUACUCUAAGCCAUGCCUCACGUGUCCUCUGAAUGCAGCCACCGUGUUGGUUGCCCUUUUGGGACAUUGCUACAUAUUUAAACCUUUCAAACUUUUUUUUUUUUUUUGGUUUGUCGUCCUUUCCUCCUCCAUUUGUUGUCAGGGGUCAGCUUCCUGAAACAUGUAGCUGGGCUCGUGAGUUCCAGGCCCUCAUCCUUCUGGAGCUGUUUCUGCUCUUCAGGGGCUACCAGACUUCUCCUGUCCCUCCUGGGCUGCAGAUGCUAGGAGAGGACACCACUCUGGAGGUGGGGCAAGGCCUGGCCUAAGUUUCCAGUCUCUACCAUAGUUGGGUAUGUAGAUGUCUUCUCUGAAGACAUGGGGCAAAGUGGGAGUUACAAUGCAGAAAUGAAGAGGUUGAUCUUAGGUAUUAAAUAGGACAGUCUCCAGAGGUCAUUGAGAAAGCACCUAAGAGAUUAAACCCUUUCCAAAGAAGUUCAUGAGCACUUUUUCCGGGACUCACCAAGGUGUCUCCCCACAGGACUCACUGUAUUUGUCCAGUUUAUGCCAAUCACUGUAACCUCCUGCUUCUAACCUACUCGGAGGGAGAUGCUGCUCACUUUUGGGGAAUCCUCAUAACCCACUUUCCCACACAUCCCUCCUCCCAUUCGAGCGCAGCCACACAUCUGAGCCAUUGAGUUGUGGUAACUCCAUGGGGAUUUCAGCAGAAUGGUCAAUGCUGGCCAGUAGUGCACCAGAUCUCCCUUCUCCCUGACCAAACCCAAAACAGGUUUGUCGGGGAGGCUGUGGGAUUUCGUACUGUGUGAUGAACCUGUGGGAACACAGAUCCGCAUGGCUGUUUCACUGCUGUGAGUGUCUGCAUGCUGUUCCUUUCAUAUGGCACAGGUUGGACCAAGCUCAUAAAUGUCUGUCUCCCCAGACAAGACUCCAAGACUCUUUCUUUUUCUAGUCUAAACCUGAAGUUGCAAGAUGGAAGCACAGGAGCUGAAUUCAGCUGGCAGCCUUAUUUGACUUGGCUGGUGCUGAGUUGUAAAAAUAUUUGAAUAUGAAUGUCUGUAGGUAGGACAUACCCUUUCCAGUUCCCCACCACAUUCCCGACCACUCCCCUGUUGGCUCCUGCCCGCUCCCUCAUUGAUUUUCCCUGCCUGGUUCCCAAAGUCAUUUGAGUUUGCAAUCAAAUGGAGGAGGGAAAUGAUGCCUAGCUGCCUCCUAAUUUUGAGAAUUCCUCUCUCUUCCAUGAAGUCUGUCAGUACCCUGUUGCACACAGUAGAUUUUAUUUAAUUUCAAUCCCUGUUGAGACUUCACAGAAUCAGAGAAGAGCCAUAUCUCUUUUAUGGGGGCUCCCUAAGCACACAAGAAGAGGUUUCAGAAGGACCCUUAUUAUAAGAAUGCCCAUAAACCCAGGUCUGAGGGAUGAUGUCCAUCUGCAUUACUUUUGGGGGAAGUUUAAAAUCAAUUGGUUUGGCUUAAAGACCAGAAGUUGAUGGGAUUGAGGCAAAGGGGAGGUCACCAUGUGGUCUACAAAGAUCUUUCUUCUUGACUGAGAAAAGGAAAAAGAUGGGUUGAAAGAGAUGGAGUUAUUGCUCAGACAGAGUGGAGGUGGCAUCUCUACCCAGGACUUGGGGCUCCAAGUCUGGGACUUUCACCUCUGUAUCAAGAAAGACCUGUAGCGCGGGGAUUCACACCUAACAUGAGUCAUACUAAAACUAUGGAUCAGGAAUAAAAAUAAUUAAAUAUAAAAGCCCUGUGGCAGCAAUGUCUUGCCACCUGAAGGAGAUAGCAGAGUGAGCUCUUAGUAAAACUUUGGGAUUCCACUCUUACCCAGAAAAUGAAAUAGGAUCCCUGAGUCUUGGCUGGAGGGGGAAGAUGCUAAGGAAUCCCUGAAGAAUAAUGCAGGAAUUUCUAGACUUUUAGGAUCUACACAUUUUUCAAAAGACAACCAUACCAACAGUUUUUCCUGAUUGCUAACAUCUUCCUUUGCCAUAUAGGACAUUGAAAGCAAACAAUAAAACUAGCACCACCUACUAUUUCUAUAAUUUUAUAAAAUAAAGGAGUUUUGAAAACCAAAGUAGCACAGAAAUAAUCUCAAGCGAGAGCAGUUCUUCCAAAGAAAAGUUGUUGGCAAAUUUCUGCCACCAAGCCAGGAAAAAU